rnacentral:rRNA from 1 species
AUUGAACGCUGGCGGCAGGCCUAACACAUGCAAGUCGAGCGAGCGGCGGACGGGUGAGUAAUGUCUGGGACACUGCCUGAUGGGGGGGGGUAACUCCUGGAUAACGUAGCUAAUACCGCAUCCCAUCAGAUGUGCCCAGAUGGGAUUUGCUUGUGGGUGGGGUAACGGCGCACCUAGGCGACGAUCCCUAGCUGGUCUGAGAGGAUGACCAGCCACACUGGAACUGAGACACGGUCCAGACUCCUACGGGAGGCAGCAGUGGGGAAUAUUGCACAAUGGGCGCAAGCCUGAUGCAGCCAUGCCGCGUGUGUGAAGAAGGCCUUCGGGUUGUAAAGCACUUUCAGCGGGGAGGCGUUACCCGCAGAAGAAGCACCGGCUAACUCCGUGCCAGCAGCCGCGGUAAUAC